rnacentral:tRNA from 1 species
GUGGCUCAGAGGUUAAGAGCACUGGCUGUUCUUUCAGAGGUUCUGGGUUCAAUUCCCAGC